rnacentral:rRNA from 1 species
GACGUAGGAGGCAAGCGUUGUCCGGAGUUACUGGGCGUAAAGCGCGCGCAGGCGGUCACGCAGGUCAUCUGUGAAAGCACCCGGCUCAACCGGGUUGUUGCGGGUGAAACCGCGUGACUUGAGGUCGGGAGGGGUCGGUGGAAUUCCCGGUGUAGUGGUGAAAUGCGUAGAGAUCGGGAGGAACACCCGUAGCGAAGGCGGCCGACUGGACCGAUCCUGACGCUGAGGCGCGAAGGCCAGGGGAGCGAACGGG